rnacentral:sRNA from 1 species
CAGGUGUCGUGAAAACUAUCCCGAAAAGCCAAAAUGGGAAAGGAAAAGACUCAUAUCAACAUUGUCGUCAUUGGACACGUAGAUUCGGGCAAGUCCACCACUACUGGCCAUCUGAUCUAUAAAUGUGGUGGCAUCGACAAAAGAACCAUUGAAAAAUUUGAGAAGGAGGCUGCUGAGAUGGGAAAGGGCUCCUUCAAGUAUGCCUGGGUCUUGGAUAAACUGAAAGCUGAGCGUGAACGUGGUAUCACCAUUGAUAUCUCCUUGUGGAAAUUUGAGACCAGCAAGUACUAUGUGACUAUCAUUGACGCCCCAGGACACAGAGACUUCAUCAAAAACAUGAUUACAGGGACAUCUCAGGCUGACUGUGCUGUCCUGAUUGUUGCUGCUGGUGUUGGUGAAUUUGAAGCUGGUAUCUCCAAGAAUGGGCAGACCCGAGAACAUGCCCUUCUGGCUUACACACUGGGUGUGAAACAACUAAUUGUUGGUGUUAACAAAAUGGAUUCCACUGAGCCACCCUACAGCCAGAAGAGAUAUGAGGAAAUUGUUAAGGAAGUCAGCACUUACAUUAAGAAAAUUGGCUACAACCCCGACACAGUAGCAUUUGUGCCAAUUUCUGGUUGGAAUGGUGACAACAUGCUGGAGCCAAGUGCUAACGUAAGUGGCUUUCAAGACCGUUGUUAAAAAGCUCUGGGAAUGGCGAUUUCAUGCUUACACAAAUUGGCAUGCUUGUGUUUCAGAUGCCUUGGUUCAAGGGAUGGAAAGUCACCCGUAAGGAUGGCAAUGCCAGUGGAA